GGGAAAUCUAAAAAGUGAGGCUCUGGUGAGGUCAAAGGGGCACUGCACAUCGCCAAAAUAAACGCAUUAAUGGAUGCUGUGAUCCACAAAUUCCCUGGCACCACCAGGGGCUAACUGGGGACUGCAUUAAAUCAAAAACUGACUGAGCUGCGGCAUCAAAGAGAAAAAUUGACCAUCGGUGGAUAAAAAAAAAUUAUUAUUGUUUCAAGUUCUGUUAAAAAAAAACAGCUUUGCCUCCACCGCUACACUUUGAGGAUCUAUUUCUGUUUUAAAAAAGACUGAGAAAAAGCAUCUUCCCUUUUUUGUCUGUUUUUUAUCUUUACCACCACUAAUAGCAACUGGACAUUUAAUAUGCCUCCAUUAAUACCAAAAUUGUGAAUGUUUAACUUUGUCAUCCAGUAGAGGAUUUGUUUCAACAGUGCUGUGGUUUCAUAUCUGCAUAAAACUCAGUAAAGUAUUUUUCUCUUUUAAAUAAAGUGUUUAAAUAAGAA